rnacentral:rRNA from 1 species
UUUGGUGAUGAUGGCGAAGGGGAACCACGCGUUCCCAUCUCGAACACGACCGUUAAGCCCUUCAGCGCCAAUGGUACUUGAACCGCAGGGUUCUGGGAGAGUAGGACGUCGCCAAGC